GAGAAGAUCACAAAACAAGAGAAGUAUUUGCUGUCACUCAAACUUGUGUCGCGGCUGUCGAGAGCAAAGACUUCUGCUUUGCCGAUCGCUUACAGUCUCAUAGAAACUCAAAGAAAACUCGUUCUUUCUCUCUCGAAAUGAAUCAACAGUUUUCUCCGAUUGUCAGCUGUCCAAUAAUCUCUGACCUUUCAGACGCCUGCAGUUCAAUUACUCGCCAAACGAACGCUUCCCACGUUGAGCCGCCGCUGAUGGCGUGAUGAACUUUACAGCGGCGUGUUUCCUCAUUCCCUCCGCUGGCUGAUUCCUGAGAUUAGACUGAUGGGACGAGCGAGGAGCUUUCAUGUGUGUUUGUGUGGUUUUAAAUUGAACUGCUUUUGUUUUUCAGCUCCUGAGUCCUCAGGAUCUUCGCCAGGGCUUUCAGAGGUUGUGAGAGCGUUGCAGGAGCGUUGUGAGCUGGCACACUC
rnacentral:lncRNA from 12 species